GAUGAACGCUGGCGGCGUGCCUAAUACAUGCCAGUCGAGCGAACAGACGAGGAGCUUGCUCCUCUGACGUUAGCGGCGGACGGGUGAGUAACACGUGGAUAACCUACCUAUAAGACUGGGAUAACUUCGGGAAACCGGAGCUAAUACCGGAUAACAUGUUGAACCGCAUGGUUCAACAGUGAAAGACGGUCUUGCUGUCACUUAUAGAUGGAUCCGCGCCGCAUUAGCUAGUUGGUAAGGUAACGGCUUACCAAGGCAACGAUGCGUAGCCGACCUGAGAGGGUGAUCGGCCACACUGGAACUGAGACACGGUCCAGACUCCGACGGGAGGCAGCAGUAGGGAAUCUUCCGCAAUGGGCGAAAGCCUGACGGAGCAACGCCGCGUGAGUGAAGAAGGUCUUCGGAUCGUAAAACUCUGUUAUUAGGGAAGAACAAAUGUGUAAGUAACUAUGCACGUCUGGACGGUACCUAAUCAGAAAGCCACGGCUAACUACGG
rnacentral:rRNA from 1 species